UUAAAGGCCCUUUUCAGGACCACCAACAAAUUGAUUUAAAUCCACU
rfam:Schistosoma curassoni strain Dakar, Senegal genome assembly, scaffold: SCTD_scaffold0013075